rnacentral:rRNA from 1 species
UACGGGGGGGGCAAGCGUUGUUCGGAAUUACUGGGCGUAAAGGGCGCGUAGGCGGCUCGCUAAGUCGGGUGUGAAAACUCUGGGCUCAACCCAGAGCCUGCAUUCGAAACUGACGGGCUAGAGUUCUGGAGGGGAAAGCGGAAUUCCUGGUGUAGCAGUGAAAUGCGUAGAUAUCAGGAGGAACACCGGUGGCGAAGGCGGCUUUCUGGACAGAAACUGACGCUGAUGCGCGAAAGCUAGGGGAGCAAACGGG